CCCGCAUCAGAUUUCCUGGUGUAACGAAUUUUAAAGUGCUUCUUGCAUUCGCAAGUUUCAACCCGACCCUGAUAAGGGCCGGGUUUU
rfam:Klebsiella sp. RIT-PI-d NODE_1_length_2264346_cov_38.3847_ID_1, whole genome shotgun sequence.